rnacentral:lncRNA from 1 species
AGAAGAAACAUUUGCACUGUUUAGUUACAUUUCCCAGAUGUGGGAAAAAGAUAAAAUUUAUGUAUAUAUCUCAAGUAAAAGGCUGACUUUAAUGGAAAACAAGAUCAAAGUUAAAAUUAUUACACUGUUGCAGAAAACUUACCUACUUUGAUGUAGGGUGGCAUUCUUUGAGCCUUUGUCUUCCUUGCUGGGUUCAGGAAAGCGUCUCACUGAAAUCUGGGCUAGGCCUGUUGCCCAGUGGUGGUGAGCUAUUCCCCUGGAGGAUCCUCAUGCCCCAUCUCCACCUAGGGAUCGUCAAAGGGAAUAGGUCGCCAGCACUGCAAAGCAGCAAGCCCACAAUUCUGGGGGGAGAUCUGGAAAAGAGGUGAAAGAAAAGCCAAUUCUUGAAAUCAAGAAUACUGGGAAAGUUGUCUCAUUAUGUAGUAACCAGCAGUUGUGUUAAAUCAUGGGGAGGGGCUUGGAGAGUGAACCCUUCACAUUUGUAGAUCUUAGUGUUAACUUAGAGACAUGAGAAUUGCUCCAUCCAAGUUCUUUCUGGCUUUUAUUCUGUCACCUACCAAUGAGAGAUCCUUUAGAUUAUAGGUUGUGUUAAAGUCCUUGUACUUCAAAUACUCUGGGAAUAAAGGGGUUAAAUUAUUUUCUUCUUUUAAUUUGUGCUUUAAACAAUACCAUGCCAGAACACUGGCAAGGUGAAUAGCAUUGUUUGGCUCAGUGCUUAUGGUGCAUAUGUCCCUAGAAACUGGUGUAGCAUUGGACCUCUGAGUUUGAGGAUAUUCAGAGACCAGAAUUAUGACAGGCCUACAGAAUGUGACAACAGCCAUAUCUACUUACUCUAUCAAGUACAAAAGACUAGGGUGUCAGAAACUGGCCUUCAUUCCUCUGAUAACCUACCUUUUAGGCAUUUCAGAGCAGAAAUGUUACAGAUUGGUCAUAACAUGGUGGGGAUGAUUUCAAGGCCUCAUCAUAAGGCAAGGAUCUCAUUGGCUAACUGACUAUGCCAGGGGACCAGGAGAUGGGGAGUGCUUUAUUGACUUGCCCCCUCAUUCUCUGAUGAACUGGAGAUCAGAUAGAAACCCCCAAAUAGCAAAUUCUCCAAAGUACCUUUUUUUCUCCAUGUGGCCUGUAAGCUUUUUGUUCAGAGUAGCGAGGACUUGAAGAGAAGUUCUGCUGAGAUGUAAUGUAGCUGUAUAGGCUGCUGGCAGUCCUUGAGUCUCACAUAGGGAUUGUUUGUCCCUGUGAAGAAAUACAAGGCUAUCAUUAGACUACAAAAAUUGUUGAAAAUUCCACAUGAAAAUAAUGAGGUAUUUACUUAGGAGGUAUAACUUGACACAUUAGACCUUUAAGGGAAGAUACUAUCUCAGUCAACCAAGUAACGGAAAUACCUUUGGGCUCUCUCCAGCACUCUUCACUCCUCUAAAUCCAGGCAAUCCUUCUUCUUGAGGCAGGAGCACAAAACAGACUCCAAAUUCAUCCCUGGAAAACAAAUGAUAAUUAUACUAAACUCUACAAAUGAUAAUUUGAUUACUAGCAAUACAAUCUUCAUAUGCACAUGUCAGCGUUUUCAAUUGGUGGUAAGAACUCAGGGUGAGGAUAUGUUCUCAUGGAACCCCUAGUUCUUAAGAGAUGUGAAAACAGCCUUUAAAAUUGAAAGCAUGUCUACAUUUCAAAGGCCUUUCAUUUCUUUUCCCUUUUUGUAUAUUUGAGUACUCUAUCUGCAUGUAUGCCUGUGUGCCAGAAGAGGGAGUCAGACGUCAUUACAGAUGGUUGUGAGCCACCAUGUGGUUGCUGGGAAUUGUACUCAGGACCUCUGGAAGACUAACAGAACCAUCUCUCCAGCUCUCGUCUUAAGUGAGCUUUCUCUUUUCCUGUUUUAUUUAAAAUUAACAAAACUUUCUUAUGACUACACAAAUAGAGCCAUCUUCCCCUGGGAUGAGCCAGAGGACUAAGUAAGGGGCAGGCAGAAGAGGUUCACUGGACUGGGAGAGAGGGCACAGGUUGGACAGUGGCUAGGUUAUAUGGCAGUAUGCAUACAAAGACCUGGUCUGGUUCUGCCACAGGGCUUUGUAAAAUCAGCUGGCAAAAUCCACUACUUCCACUUCCCACCACUUAAUGAAGGUGUACAUUCUCAAAUUCACUUGUUCUACAGGGUUCUUUGUUUACAAACUCCUAAGUCUGGGUCAAGCCAUUGGACAGCUUGGAAGAAAGCUCAUUCUUCUUUUUUUUUCAAGACAGGGUUUCUCUGUGUAGCCCUGGCUGUCCUGGAACUCACUCUGUAGACCAGGCUGGCCUCGAACUCAGAGAUCCGCCUGCCUCUGCCUCCCAAGUGCUGGGAUUAAAGGCUCGAGCUACCACUGCCCGGCUGAAAGCUCAUUCUUAAUGUAUACAGUUCAGGCAGCCUGAAGAUGGUGAUGGCGAGUUGGUGGCUUUCCAUUACAUGAUUACUGACAGUGAGGGCUGGGUCAGGACACUAAUUUGGGGAACUCUUUGUAUUCCAUCAAUUAUGGGGACCAAAGAUGGCCUCCAGAUGGUUUUGUGUGAUGGCACCUCCUAAUGGACAUUUCAAUCACAGACAAGCUCAUGUUCCAGAUGUCCUACUACAAAUAAGUGUGUAUUUUACAGUGCCGUGGAGGUCAUGUAGGACUAGGUUGCCAUGACAGAAUUGGCCCUGAUUAAUGAUCUGCCUGCUCACACAACUUGAUCAUUUCAAUAGGGAACUGUCAGUGAUAGUGGGUUUACUGUGAAUAGCAGCAGUACCAGCUUCCUCCAGGCCACUAACUGGAGUCUGAGUCCUAAUCUCUAUUUAGGUCCAUAGGAGGCAGGCUGAAAGCUCUAGGUGCCUAGGCAAGCCUGGGGGGGGGGGUCACUUUGCAUGUACUGGGGUGGGUAGCCAAUGGUGCUAAGGUGAGACCGAAGCUUUAGCUAACUGUCUUAGUGCACCAAACACAUUCUUUAGCAUCUCAAAAAGCUUUUUUUCCUUGCAAAUGUUUCCUUUUGAAGCAGUUACUUGUACAACAAUGGUCCUAGUUUCCUAAAAGACUCAAUAGUUCUAGAUGUAUUAUCACCUAGAGAGCCAGACAAUGCUAAGCCUUUGGAGUUGGGGGAAACCUGCUGCGAAGGAAUUUACAGUGGACUUAAAAGGGUUAAAGUACUAGAGGGUCAUUUGCACGUACAAAAGGCAAAUGCAAAAAAAUGUUAAGUGUUAUGGACAAGGAUGUUUUUUCAGCUAGACCAUUUUCUACACAGGAGUCAAGUAUUUGUUGUUUUAACUGAAAGUAUCUGUUGAAAAGUGCUGGCAGGGGUCCAGUGUGGCACCCACCCUUAAUCCCAACACUCUAAACUGGAGGCAGAGGCGGGCGGAUCUCUGCGGGCGGAUCUCUUGAGUUUGAGUUCCAGGAUAGCCAGACUACACAGAGAAUCCCUGUCACAAAACAAAACAGAGAACAAAACAAAAUUAAUUGAUUAAUUAAUGAAAAAGAAAAAUGAGCAAGGAGGGUACAUAAAGUAGUCCAUAGUAAAAUUUGUUCAUAAAACUUAUCCUUCUUUGCACUUUUGU